rnacentral:lncRNA from 1 species
AAAAGUUUGAAUUCAUUUCAAGCCCUGGGCCACCCAAACAUUCUGUGCCUUCUGAGGCUUCUGGCAGUGAACUGAUGGAUUUUCACAGAUGAGGGGUCUCUGGAACAUAACUCCCGCCAUAGUUACAUUCUAGAGCAUUGCUGAAACACCCACAAUAAUAUGAGAGGAAUCACAGAUUUACUAAGCUUCUCAAAACUGAGAGACCAACUGCUCUUCAGAAGAAACUUUCUGCUUCCUCAAGAUUCCAGCCUCCUGGAAUCCCUCCCCCAUGAGGAGAAAGAUUGACUUGUUCCUAUGUGCAAACCUCUGUCACGCCUAUUUACCACCAAAAUCAGAGUCGAAAUAAAAAAUUUAAAAGAGCAAU